rfam:Brachypodium distachyon strain Bd21 chromosome 1, whole genome shotgun sequence.
GGAUUACUCCCUCCGUCCCAUAAUUCUUGUCGAAAUAUUACAUGUAUUUAGACACUUUGGAAUAGAUACAUCCAUUUUUGUGCAAAUUUGAGACAAAAAUUAUGGGAUGGAGGGAGUAGUAU